rnacentral:lncRNA from 11 species
UGGCCAUUUGGUUUCUUACAGGAGGGCACCAAAGAAGAACAUUGGUGGACCGAAGGGCAAGAGACCAGCCAAAAAGACCGACGAAGUGCCCUCCACCCCCUAGCAGCUCUUCAUCGGAUGAUGAGGGUAUUUCUGCAAAUGACUAUAACAUGCUUUUACCUAGGAUUAGCAUGUUGGCUGCUCCCACUGCUAGCCCACGACCAGCACGUCGGGAAGUAAAACAGCUUUGCUUAAUGCUAUUCUUUCUCAUGUAUCUGCUCUAGAAGCUGGUCAGAGUUUUGGGUCCCGAUACGAGGCAAAGCAGCCUGUUGCAGUGACUGGGGGACCCCAGGAGGUGCAGCACCCGUUCAACGACCGUCCAGAGCCAGUACAACCAGCAUCAUCAGCUCAGCACAUUUUAUCUGUUGUGUCCAGUGCACAGGCGGUUCCCUCAGGUCCGGUGCAAGGGCUGGUAUCCAGCAAUCCCACCACUUCGACAGCUUGUGGGCAUAUGAAUAAGAAAAGAGAGAGAGAGAGAGAGAGAGGAGGAGAAGAAGAAGAAGAAGAAGAAGAAGAAGAAGAAGAAGAAGAAGAAAGUAAAUAGCAACAUCUGUGAUCAGUAGAUCAGAAUAUAUUUCCCUGCUGAAAGACACUGCUGCUGUCUCUUUUCUCGGUUCAUAUUCUCAUGCCUUUGUGAACUGUGAUGGUGGUGAGAGUGCCCAAAUAAGCCAUUGAUUACAUCUUAGUCCCAGAAGCACAAUUUUGCUCUAAGGCCUAAAAGUUGAUCUGAAUGAUUAUGAACAGCAAAAUAGGUAGCUUCACCAAUAAUACACUGUUUUAUGAACCCUGCUUGGUUUUGUCUUAGUGCUUUGAUGGUUGUGCACUUAUCCAGUCCAAAACUGAAAUAAGUAUUUCCCCAAACUGUUUUCUAAAACAGCCAGUAGUCUAAAUCUACAUCAUGGGAUUUUCAGACACCAGCCAUUUUGUGUAAAACACAUAAACAUGUCACAUUUGAGGUUUCUCUGGUUUGGUUCCUUAAAGGAAAGGCUAUGAAAUGUGAAUAUCCAUUAAAACAUUCAGCCUUUCAUAAUUUAAUCAUUACUUGGAAAAGCCCUUUUCAAUUUAUCCCUUGUUGAAAGGUUUCAAAUCCAAAUGGAGACUAAAACCAAAUUACAUUCAUUUGCAGUAUUUGGAAAGUUCUCACUUGAGUGCAUUUUGACUGCCAGCAUAUUACACAGUUAUGUCAUUUAUUUCUGCAGGAAGAGAUUGAAAUAUGAAAUGCUUUGUUUUAUACUGUACAUAUUAUAAAUGAGGGGGAAGUAAAAGCAGAAGAUGGGGCACAUCAAAGCCAACCCAAAAUCCACUAUCAUUAAGAGUUUUCUCAUUGGUAAAGCACAAGACAACAUCUGUGGUGGCCUCCAUCUAGAUUUACUUAGCCAGAUUUUCAUUAAAAGAGUGACUCAAUAAAAGUGUUGCUUACCCUAAUAAAGCUCUUUGGAGCUUUGCAAAUUUGCAUUUAAUACUCCUUAAUGCCAUUAUGGCAUUAAUAAUCUGUGCCUAAAGACCAAUAAAAAUUCUACAUUUUCAGUGUUAUGGAGAAAGCUCCAUAAACUCAUGCUUUUCUUGUGACUCAGCUUUUACUGUGCCAUAAAUGAGCCAUAGUCAAGGCUGCUCAUAUGCUAGAUGAGAACUGACAGUAGUGAUUUGCAUUAAUUUAAUGGGAUUGUAUUUAUAGACCACCCAUUCUCAGUAAACAACAGUUGUUUUUUUACAACAGAUAAAUAAAUCAACAGGUCAACACAUAAAAUGGCAAAUUAUAACACAGAACAUAACAUAGGUUUAGAUAUUAAGAGGUGGUUAUUACAAUAAGUGGGUAUUCGGUCAGCCACAGGUUCACUGUGAGUACUUA